CCACCUACGAAACAGCAACCGGCAGGUCAGGGGCUUUCCGAGAAGCACGCGACGCGCCCCCGUGCCGGAACAACUGCAGCCGCUUCCUAGAGUCCUGUGCUCGACCAGACAACAGCCGCCCACCGCCACAGCACGGCCCCCCACCCCAGCCGAGCACGCCGCCACACGGAGGAGGUCUGCGCUCCCGUGCAGAGUCCUCCCCAUCGGUGGUGGGCCGACCGCGGCCCCGUGGUCUCCCGCCAGCGAUGAGCCGCCAUCCGGCAGGGCCCGCGGGGUGUGGAAAGAAGGGCUCUGGAGGUCUGGUGGGGAGCGGGGACUGAGAGAACAGAGGAAACAAAGAGCGAGCUUCUUCCAAGUAGGUUUGUUUUGUGUUCUCGUUUAUUUUAGAAAAGAAGAUUGCCUCUUCCGUGCCUUGACACAGUAAGGGGGGGGUCCUGUGAAUGACAGACACAGUCCAGGUGACCCCGCGGCAGCUCUGCUCAACCGUCUACAGCCGGCAAGUGUGCUUCGCACACCCGGGGCAGCCGACUCACGGCCCUCAAGUGCAGGUUCAGUGCUGUCUCGGCCCCAGUUCGGACACUGCGGUGUUGAAACAAUCUUUAACCAGGAACACCCCGUCGCUCAUUCCCGCUUAGGACGCCGCGGCCUCCCCCCACCAGGACCCCGCUUCCCGGGCACGGGUUUCCCACGGCUGCUCUAGCGAAUCACCAGCCCCUCCGUCUCGCCAAGUCUGCAACGGGUCUCACUGACCCUACAGAUGUGUGGUGUUGGCUCCUUCCUUUCCGUGUGCGUGGGGUCCCUUGCAGUGGUGGGACUGGCCCUGUGUCCCUGCCGUCUGCCUGCUGAGGGCUGUCCCGACUGCUGGAAGCCACCAUGUCCCUCGGCCCCUUCUGCCAAGGCUGGCAACGCGGGCGAGCCGCCCUCACGGUCUCCUCCCUCCUGGGGAAGGGUUUCUGCUACACGGACCCCAGAGGGCACUGGGCCCGUGGGGAUAAUCGAGGGUCACCACUGCACGAUCUUUUGCUUACUCCCAUCCGUGAAGUCCCCUUACCACGUGAGGUCACAUAUUCACAGUCCCAGGAUCUGGACGGGGAUCUCUCCGGGGGCCGCUACCCUGUACCCCUCCCCGUAUUUCCACAGUCUGUUCCGUAAGGUAGUUUUACAAGGACAAUUACAGAAGUACAGAGAUUCAGAGGACGACCCUGUCCUUCCCCACUCUGUCGGCUGCCAACGUAGCGCCAGACUCGUGUCAUCAAUCCCUCCCCCACCCUGGGUACUCUAGCGGGUCCCAGGCAUUUCAUAAACUUUUCUAGCAUUUCUCUAAAAGGACCCUUAAAAAACCAAAAUAACCACGAUGCCUUUAUCUAACCCAAAGAGCUAACCAAGAGCCCCGACGUCAAGUACACAAUCUGUGUCCGGACUCGUCCGGUCACCGUGGGCAUCUUCUCAUUCACAGCCCUCCCCCGACUGUGUGACUCAUCAUCCUUCGACUGCUCGCCACUCGCUGGGUGCUGCUAGUUCCCUGGCACCUGCCCAAGGCGACGGGGCAGAGCAGCUACAGGAGAGCGUCAGAGGUGCGUUCCGGUCUACAGGCGCUGUCCUCGCCAGGCCCCACUGUCCUUCCUGGGCCUCUUCACAAAGGUCUGGUAACGACCACAGCAAGAGCCUCGCCACCUCUGUGCGUCUCCUGCAUCAGACCCAGAGGCAGCCGUUUCCCCAAGGGGGCCAGUCCUCUCAGGGAGGCCGUGCGCUUGGGUACUCGCUGCUCCCAGACUGGUUACGAGGGUCCUCCUGUGUACUGGCUACACCUCUCUGUGCUUCACCAACAGUAAAUGCCACAAGGACAAGGACAGUGCAGUGCCGGCAGCAGCCCGUGAAUCCCCCCCUCCCCCGCUCUCCACCGCCGUAUGAUCAUCCAUCCAGCUGCUAAAACCUAGACAUGCCCGCAUGACCAGAGCAGGGCCCCGUCACAUGGAGCAAGAGGUCGCCCAGGUGCUGACCCAGGAUGAGCAGGGACCUCCAUUUCAGGCCAUGGCCCUUCGAGGAGCGAACCAGCCUUGCAGUACCACGACAUGGACUGAGCUGGAGGCAUCUAAAGGCAUCAACACAGAGCACUAACCAGACACGAGGGAACAGCUCGGCCGUUCCGUCUCCACCUCCUCGGAGCGCACACCUCCUCCACUGGUCUGACCCCUUACAGAGCUCCCUGCCGACCCUGAGCACAGACACACCGCGUGGCUUCUCCGGGAAGAGGCGGGGGGAAGGGACAGAAAACACCCCCCAGACUCCGUGAACCCGGAGCCAAAGCUCACUGUCCUCCUUCGCCCUCGUGCCCCUCCUGCGGGGGAUUUGGGGAUCCACCAGGCGCCUGGAGCCCUCCCCACACUGCCCCCGUGCGUGCUGGGUGGGGCCCUGGUGUGGGGGCCGGGCUGGCUAGGGGGUGUUCUAGGUCACACGGUGCAAACUGCAGCCAGGGAAGGAGGGUCACCAUGGGAGACUUGGGGUCCUGAAACUCUCCUCGGGGGAGGGGGGCCUCCUGCUCUCCACUCCGCACGUCAGAGAGGACCCCCUCCGGGCCCUCGGCUGGCUCGCUGGCUCUGGUUUGCCCUGGGGAGGCGGGUGCUGUCUGGGAGACAUGGACCGGACAGGCUCCCGUGUGCCCCGCCUGCCCGACUCCAGGACAACAUCCCCAGCCCACAGAUGCGUCGUUUUCCAUUUUCUCAAGAAGAGUUUUCUGUGAGCUACUUCCUUAGAAAGUACUGCGAUCGGCCCUUUCAGAAACCACACUGUGACUCGCUGCAACACAGGCUCCCCAGGCACCCCGGCCACGAUGAGUCUCUAACCAACCCAUGAGGCCCGGGCUCGAGAAAGGAAGAAAGCUCCAGAACGCUCCUCAUCUGUGACCAAGGACCCCAGCUUAUCCACCCUGUCCCCUGUUCUGCCUACAAGCUGGCAGGCGCAGGGGUGAGGAUGGCAGCCUCCCCGGAGCCUCUACACAGGGCAAGGAACCACACACAUAGCAGCAGCCCUGCCCGGUGGCCCCACGAGGUCCCGAGAAGUUAAGCCACACUUUCGCAGUCACUCGGGGCCAUCCCACCCAACCCGAGCUUUCUGGAACACACUCCCCGAAUCAGGGCAUCGGGUUUAAAAGUUCUCACACGGCCGAGUGCUCCACUAACCACCCCCCCCCUUCUCUAUGGUGACCGCUCUGCCCUGCGCUGCUCCUGCGCACAGCCUGAGUACAAACAAUGACAGAAACAAGGCCCAUGCCCCCAGGACACACGAGCCGACCUCCUGCUUUAUGACUCGGACACAGAUGCCCCACCAGCUUGGUGUCUCCAACACGGGGCCCUGGUGUCAGGACAGCAGCAGGAAGGCACGUGCACACAGCCCUGCUCCACAAUCAGGACCCGAUUUCCACCCAGUCUCCUAGGAACCACCGCUUGGUCUCCAACCACAGAGCCUCCAGCCUCUCCGGGCCCCUGCGCCUCCCUGGGGGCCGCGGAGAGAGGAAGUCCGCUGGAGGAGGGAGACAGCAGAGCUCAGAGAAACACGUGCCACACGAGGAUUCCUGCUCAUGGGGACAUCUGCAAAUUACACGAAGUAACUUCAGAGGACAAGGCCGGUGGCCCAUCUCUGCUCUCUGGGGCAGGCCUAGGGAGCCUUGCGCCCAAAGGGCUUUCUGCGGCAACAGACCGUCCCCCACCGCGGAGCAGGACGUGACGGCACCACACCAGGCCCGCGGUCUCAGGAAGAGACUCAGUGUGCCCGCCGCACCGGGCCUCCCUCCCCUCUGUGGCCAAGAGCCCGGCUGAGGCUGGACGAUGCUCAGGGAAGCGGAAGGUACUGACUCCCUCCUGGUGGGAGGGGCCUGGCACAGCCCACCUCCCCACACGGGUCUCGGGGGCGUUAACGGGAGGACGUCUUCUGAGUGUCACCACAGGAAAAAGCCCCCAAAUAGAAUCCCACCUUCUAAGACACCCUUCUCUCCACCAGCCCCCACACCUCCCGGUACCCAGAGGGCCUGAGUCCAGCCAGGUGGCAUGUGGCCUCGGGUGCGGGGGGCCCAGGGCAGCUCGGACUUCUGGCCAGAGGAGCCAAGUGACAUGCGGUCAGGGUCACCUGCCCCUCUUCCCAGCCGCUGCUGUGCCUGUGAUGGGGUGUCCACAACAGGGCGGUGGGGGUGGGGAGGAGGCUGCCCAGCCUACCUUUGCACCCCCAGCCCCAGCUGGGGGGUGGGGGGGCGCCCACUCGCCAGAAGAGGAGCUAUGACCCAGAGCGACCUCUCAGGACAACCCGAGAGCCUCUCUGGCAUCCUGCUCGUUUUUGUUUCUAAUAUCCAACCAGAAGCGAAGGAGGACUCCAGGAACUCCCAGCGGCCCGUGCCAGGCUGCAGAGCAGAGCGAACCUGGCAGGUCGAGGUGGCCCUCCAGGCCUACCUGUGGAGCCUCCCUGCAGUGACCUGCAGGCAGGGACGGGCCACUGGCCUGCAGCCUGGACACGCCUCUGGGGGCUCCGAGGGCUCUGCAGAGGCCCGGGAAGGAGGCCGGCCACCCCCGUCCUCACGGUGGCGGAGCUGGAGCAGCUCUCAAGGCUGGGGCCUUCCCCCCGCCCUCCCGGCCCCGUCCGGUCAGCCCAGCUGUGGUCCUGGUGGGAGAUGAUGGUUUCACCCGAGCCCGGACAGCUCCCCCGCGUCGCUGUCAGGAAAACAGCUGAGGUGACACCAUCUGGGAUUUUUGUAUGGUGCCAGCUUGCCGCGGUCUGUGCCGUCGGUGCCCCACCGUGUCACCCCUGCCCGGGUGCGGCCACCCAGUCGGCGGACGCAGGUCCCCACUCUCCGCAGCCCAUCCCACCAACCCGGGCCUUCUGGAACACGCUCCCUCCACACACCACCGCGGCUGGCGGGCUAGAGUGCGGCCUUCCCGGGGGGGCGGGGGCUGAAGAGACCAUGGUUCUCAGACUCCACUUCCUGCCACUGCGUUUCCCUCCCCAGCAGAACGUGGAUGUCACCGCAGUUACCUGGCAGCAAGGAGGCAGGUGUGCCAGUGAGACGGCUUUCCUCACGGAGCCGGGCAGGAGUGCCACCUGCCUCUGCCAUCUGGCCGGCACAUGCUGACGCGCACACCCACCCGUGUCCUGCCCCCGGCACAGUGCGCCCCGAUGCCCGAGGACCCCGUCUCACAAAGGCCCAAGUCUGCUUUCUCGUCCACAUCCUGAACCUCUCUCGUUUCCUCCUCCUCUUUCCAUACCUCGGUGCAGGCGAUCUGCUUGCUUACGACUAUCCAAGCCACCAAUUCUUUCUUCUGUCGCAUCUAAUGAGCUAUAUGAUCUGCCCGUUGAAUUUUUAAUUCCAUUGGCAAUUUUCAUUUCCAUGUAUUCCGUUUUGUAUUUUUAAAAAUCUACGUGGUGUUUUCUGGCAGCGCCUUGUUCCUUGCUCACGUUUUCAAUUUCUCCUCUGUUGCACCCUACUGACCCGUGCUUUGUAUCCAGUCAUCCCCACGCAAGGUCCCCGGGGCUGGUUCUGUCUCAGGAUGGCAGUGUCUUCCACGUGGUACGUGGUUCUGACCCGGCACUAGUGUUUGGCUGAACACUGGGGCCGGGACACUGCACGGAAGCCAAUGUCUCUGGAGAGGGCUGGCUUUUGCUCUGGUCUGGGACUGGAUGGGGCUCGUUUCCGGGGACAGCUCUCAAAGCCCCUUGCCCCGUCUGGAUGCCAGCCGGAGGAGACGGAGGGCUUUGGCUCAGGGAUGGUGCCUUCCAGCCUGAGGUGUCCCUGAUGUGGCUUUCAGGGGCCUGUCCACUGUGGCCCCGAGGGGCCUGAGGCCGGCAGCUGACUCCCACUGUCCUCAGCCCCCAGGGCCCUGGAGCGCUCACAACCAGUCCUUCGUUCGGUCAUCACUCACCACCUCUGACUUCUGGGCUGUUCCAGAAGAGGGCUUUUCAGGAGACAAAGUCCAGCACACUGGUCCAAAGGGAAACCUCCACCUCCUACACCCCACCACGAAACCAUACGACGUCAACACUUCUUGGACCCCACUCCACAGGAGGGCAUCCGGUGGGGCGCUUGUGGGAUCGCAGAGCUCCCGGAGAUACCAGGAGGAGCUCAGGCAAUGCCGACGGCAGGCAGGGUGCUGGCGUACCGGGGGCACCCCGCACCCAUACCAACACAGGGCCCGAUCCCAAAGUCAAGAGGCUUUUGGAAGACCACUUCUGCCAGGGCAGCGUGCACGCUGGAGACGACCCACAUCAGGCAGGGAGCCGCAAGGGGGCGUGUCUCUGUCCGGCCUCACACUCAGGUUCUCCAGAUGCUGCAGGACCAGGACUCAAGGGUCCUCCCCGCCCCCCCCCAGUCUGCAUGGGGGCACUUGAGUUUUGUCUGGCUUUUCCCUCCACCUUCCUGGUUUGUACCCACUUCUCUCUUUCCUUUAAAGACAAUUGCCACCAGCGGUCACUUAAGACAGAGGGGAUAUUCAGCAAGCCCCUGACUUCUCUGGUCUUGGUCUCCUCUGUCCCAAAAGAGAAGGGCUGGGGUCCAUCUCCAAUGUCUGCCUUCUGCGGUGCAGGUGGGGCUCUCCCAGGUCAUGGGCUGGGUGGGUGGCCUCUAGUCAAGGGGGACCACAGUCCUCAUUCCACAGACGCUGGGAAAUUCAGUGAGGGCUGUCACAGCCGUGAGGAGGAAGCCAGGGUAUGAGAAAGCGAUGCUGGCAUCAACAGCCCACAACACAACCUGACAAACACUGACCCCUUUUCAUGGCACCAAAGCACGGUGAGGACUUUUAAAAAUAAAGCGAAAUAAACCCUAAUCCAAACCUGCACCAACGUACGAACCGUGCCAUCAACCCUGCCAGCCCCGGGCCGGUCUGUACAAGCCUCUGACCGUCGGUCAGCGCCUGCCCCAGACCCUGGGAGCACCACCGGGCUGAGUAGCCACAUUGCAGCCCAGGCUCCCCCUAGUAGGGCUCUGGAAGCUGCAGCCAGCUCCCCUGGACUGCACUCCAUGCUUUGUCAGUCAUGGUCCUAGGGACUCCUCCCUGUGAGUCACAGAACCCAGGGUGGUCGUGAGGGUCUGGCCCUGCAGACUCCCACCUAUUCUGCAAAUGGGGAACAUCAGGAAUUUUAAGUAUAAAGAGCCUUCCUUGGCCAGUCCACACUCCC